rnacentral:rRNA from 1 species
GACGAACGCUGGCGGCGUGCUUAACACAUGCAAGUCGAACGGAAAGGCCCUGCUUUUGUGGGGUGCUCGAGUGGCGAACGGGUGAGUAACACGUGAGUAACCUGCCCUUGACUUUGGGAUAACUUCAGGAAACUGGGGCUAAUACCGGAUAGGAGCUCCUGCUGCAUGGUGGGGGUUGGAAAGUUUCGGCGGUUGGGGCUGGACUCGCGGCUUAUCAGCUUGUUGGUGGGGUAGUGGCUUACCAAGGCUUUGACGGGUAGCCGGCCUGAGAGGGUGACCGGCCACAUUGGGACUGAGAUACGGCCCAGACGCCUACGGGAGGCAGCAGUGGGGAAUAUUGCACAAUGGGCGGAAGCCUGAGGCAGCAACGCCGCGUGCGGGAUGACGGCCUUCGGGUUGUAAACCGCUUUCGCCUGUGACGAAGCGUGAGUGACGGUAAUGGGUAAAGAAGCACCGGCUAACUACGUG